CCUGCACCUGCCGGCGACCGGCGCACGGGUGAGUAACACGUAUGGAACCUGCCCGCCACAGGGGGAUAACCCGGGGAAACCCGGCCUAAUACCCCAUGCCGCCCGGACCGGGCAUCCGGUCCGGGCGAAAGGAGGAAUCCGGUGGCGGCUGGGCCAUGCGGCGCAUUAGCUUGACGGCGGGGUAACGGCCCACCGUGGCGACGAUGCGUAGGGGUUCUGAGAGGAAGGCCCCCCACACUGGAACUGAGACACGGUCCAGACUCCUACGGAAGGCAGCAG
rnacentral:rRNA from 1 species